rnacentral:rRNA from 1 species
CCUACGGGGGGCUGCAGUGAGGAAUAUUGGUCAAUGGACGCAAGUCUGAACCAGCCAUGCCGCGUGAAGGAUGACGGCUCUAUGAGUUGUAAACUGCUUUUGUACGAGGGUAAAGUGAGAUACGUGUGCCGGGUUGAAAGUAUCGUACGAAUAAGGAUCGGCUAACUCCGUGCCAGCAGCCGCGGUAAUACGGAGGAUCCGAGCGUUAUCCGGAUUUAGUGGGUUUAAAGGGUGCGUAGAGGGUUUGAUAAGUUAGAGGUGAAAUGUAGGGGCUCAACCGCGAAACUGCCACUAAUACUGUUGGACUAGAGAAUAGUUGCGGUAGGCGGAAUGUAUGGUGUAGCGGUGAAAUGCUUAGAGAUCAUACAGAACACCGAUUGCGAAGGCAGCUUACCAAACUAUAUCUGACGUUGAGGCACGAAAGCGUGGGUAGCAAACAGGAUUAGAUACCCCAGUAGUC